CAUGUAGGCUGCUUCGCAAGUCGGGUGUGAAAGCCCUGGGCUCAACCUAGGAAGUGCACUCGAAACUGCGAAGCUGGAGUCCUGGAGAGGAAGGCGGAAUUCUCGGUGUAGAGGUGAAAUUCGUAGAUAUCGAGAGGAACACCGGUGGCGAAGGCGGCCUUCUGGACAGUGGCUGACGCUGAGACGCGAAAGCGUGGGGAGCAAACAGGAUUAGAUACCCUGGUAGUCCACGCCGUAAACGAUGGGUGCUAGGUGUCGCGGGCUUUGACCCCUGCGGUGCCGUAGCUAACGCAUUAAGCACCCCGCCUGGGGAGUACGGCCGCAAGGCUAAA
rnacentral:rRNA from 1 species